CGCGAGAAAAACCCGGCUUCUGUGCCAGACACCGGCCUUAUGUGAGAAAAACUCGUAACCACAGAGAAGCUUUAGCUAAUGUAGGUCGUGUGGACCUCAACAGAGUGCAGUUUAUUGACAAUUUCUAAACAGAAUUUAGAUCACAACACUUCCAAAGAUGUUAAGAUGGCAAACUCCUACAAAAUGGGACA